rnacentral:rRNA from 2 species
UAACCCCGCCGGAAACUUAGCAUAUCAAUAAGCGGAGGAAAAGAAACCAACAGGGAUUGCUCAGUAACGGCGAGUGAAGCGGCAACAGCUCAAAUUUGAAAUCUGGAGCCUUCGGCUCCCGAGUUGUAAUUUGAAGAGGAUGCUUCGGUUGUGGCCUUGGCCCAAGUUCCUUGGAACAGGACGUCGUAGAGGGUGAGAAUCCCGUACACGGCUGCUGGCUUACUUCCAUGUGAAGCUCCUUCGAAGAGUCGAGUUGUUUGGGAAUGCAGCUCAAAAUGGGUGGUAAAUUUCAUCUAAAGCUAAAUAUUGGCGAGAGACCGAUAGCGCACAAGUAGAGUGAUCGAAAGAUGAAAAGCACUUUGAAAAGAGAGUUAAACAGUACGUGAAAUUGUUGAAAGGGAAGCGCUUGCAAUCAGACUCGCUUUCGGUUGAUCAAGGUUCCUUUUGGUAAAAUAAACUCUGCCGUUUGCGGGCCAGCAUCAGUUUGGGCGGCCGGAUAAAGGCUUUGGGAAUGUGGCUCCCUUCGGGGAGUGUUAUAGCCCUUUGCGCAAUACGGCCAGUCCGGACUGAGGUCCGCGCUUCUGCUAGGAUGCUGGCUUAAUGGUUGUAAGCGACCCGUCUUGAAACACGGACCAAGGAGUCUAACAUCUACGCGAGUGUUUGGGCGUAAAACCCAUUCGCGAAAUGAAAGUGAACGGAGGUGGGAGUCCUCACGGAUGCACCAUCGACCGAUCCUGAUGUCUUCGGAUGGAUUUGAGUAGGAGCGUAGCUGUUGGGACCCGAAAGAUGGUGAACUAUGCCUGAAUAGGGUGAAGCCAGAGGAAACUCUGGUGGAGGCUCGCAGCGGUUCUGACGUGCAAAUCGAUCGUCAAAUUUGGGUAUAGGGGCGAAAGACUAAUCGAACCAUUCAGAGGGCCU